rfam:Neonectria ditissima strain R09/05 contig_176, whole genome shotgun sequence.
GGGCGAAUGGUUUAGUGGUAUAAUACUCCCUUAGCAAGAUUCGUCCUCCGAUAUCUGGGAGUGGUCCAGGGUUCGAUUCCCUGUUCGUCCA